GCUGGGCGCGCGGAGUUUUGCUGCUCUACUGAGUGUGGGGCGGAAGCUUGUUGCUGAGGGCGGAAGCUUGUUGCUGAGGGCGGACGGCGUGUACUUUACUUUUCUGUUAUCCCCAGCGCCUAAGGGGCCGGUGACCUUCGAUGAUGUGGACGUGGGCUUCGGAAACGAAGAGUGGAAUCGCCUGGACUGCACCCAGAAGGCUCUUUACACGGACUGAUGCUGAAGAAUUAAGGGAAACACCAGCGCGCUGAGAAUCUCUCUACACCCAGCGUGGACCUCUCAAAAUUCCAAGAUCAGAGUUGCACGCACUACCGACUGAGCCAGCCAGACGCCCCCAACCCUGGAAUCCCUUUCUUACCACAGGGAGCAUUCCUCUGGUGGCAGUAGAAAUCACGUGUUUCAGGAUUGGGUGACCUUCGAGGACGUAUGAGGCCACAGCUCUACACUUCACUCAUGGGGACUGGCAUCAUCUGACCCUUCCGAGAGGAGUCUCCAUUAAGAGGUGAUGGAGAAUUUGGGGAAUGUGAUAUGACUGGGGCAGAAAUCUGUGUGACUCAGUUCAUCCAUUGCUAUAACUAAGUCAUUGCUGCCACCCAUUUGCUGGCAGCAUGCUCUAAAGAUCUCAGGUUAGUUGGUUUUACUUUCUGGAUCCUUGUAAGCUCCGUGGUUCCUCCUGAUGAAACGUGAGCUAGUUCUGCCUCCCAUAAAUGUUGGGUUCUGAUAUUUCCCUCACUGGGAAUGGGCACCUUUUCUGUGAUGUGAGUCUACCCUCUGCAGCACCCAGGUGAUCUGCCUUUGUAUUGAAGACCCUGCCCGUGGGGGUUUCACUUCUGUCCUGAGAUGGUCAUCCCCUUAGAUAGCAGCCUGCCUGUUGGCUCCCCUGCCAUAUCCGUUUCAUGGCUUAGGGCUAAGUCUGGUUUUGGUCCACCAUGUCCCCUUUCCUGUCUCAGUGCUAUGAACAGAAUUUCAUUUUUCCCAGCCUAAUCUGAUUGUCUUCCUAGAACAAAGGGAAGCGCAGCGGGGACCAGGUCUGCCGGCCACUGAGGGACGGAGGACUUCAUUUGCACCAGUGAGUGAGGGGGGCCAUUCGCUCCCUCCUUGUUGUGACCCCUGCCUCGUGCCUUUUGAAACAUGGCUGCACCCAAGGCAGAACACGGAUCUAGGGGAUUCCUCAUUUUCUCUUGGUCUCUUAGCCACUGGGUGGAAAUCUGAUGGGCACAGGAGUACCCAGCACACAUUCCUUUCUGGGGCUAGCCGUCAGCACCCAGAGGACGGCGGCUGAUGCCAUGCCUCUGCCUGGUCUGUCUGUGUGACGACACCGAGGACCUCUGCCCUCAGCCAUUCCCCUUUGCCUGCUUCUUUGUUUUCUCACCCCUUACAUUCAAGGGGUUGACUUCAUCUUCAUAUAUUGGCUGAUUUUCCUAUUUAUUCCCUAGGUGUUUUUUUCUGUCCUUUGUCCCCUCCCUCUUAUGUUCUGUGUUUACCAGUCUACUCGGCCUUCUUUGCUGGCUCCUGUCCCCGUUCAAGCCCCCUUCCCUGCCUUACUGUGAAGGGUUGGGAGGGUAAAUGCUGCACACUCCCAUUCUCUCUCUCUCUCUCUCUCUCUCUCUCUCUCUCUCUCCCUCUCUCCCUUUUUUUUAAAUGUUCAUUUUUGAGACCGAGACAGAACAUGAACAGGGGAGGGGCAGAG